UUUGCAAACAGGUUGUGAAACUGUUGGAAUCUUGAAAUCAGCCAUGGUGGGAUUAUUUACACCCUGGAAAUUGGCAAAACACUGUAAACCAAGGUUUUCCCCUCUGCCCCAGAGAGCCAAUUUACUAGCAUACAGCGAGUUCAAAUAUUAAAAGAACACUUUAAUGAAAAAGCCUACUUUUCUAAUAAUUCCUAGUUUUCUAAUAAUUCUCCCUACUGACCAACUCUUAAACUUUAACCUUUCCCCUGAGUGACUCCAAGUCUAGUUUCCCUUCUUUCAUUAGGCUCUUCUAAUCCAUGCAGAAACGAUUAUAACUGAACACUAAUUUGUAGGAAGCCCAUAUUUGAAUAUUAAUAAUCAAGAGUACAGAUUUGAAUUUGACUCCAGCUCGGACAAUCUGGGUUUGAAUCCACAGGCCUGUAUUUACCAGAUAUGAGGUUUAAAUAGUACUCACUUUUUUAUGCUUCCGUUUUCCUAUUUGUGAAAGAGGCAUAAUAGUUCUCACCUAAAGGAGUUGCUGUGGGAAUAAUAUCUUCCCUAUAGGGUUGUUUUGGGGAUUAAAUGACUCAUCAUAUGUAAAGCAUUUGGAACUCUGGACAUAGAAAGCCCUUCACUUGUACUUGUGAUUGAGAAGGUUAUCAUGUCUACCUGGCACACUCUAGACAGGCACUAAAUUAUAAUUUAUUCUGUUCUUUUUGCAAUUCUGUUAUUAUGUAGAAAUGGUUUAAAACACCUUUUUCUUCAGGGGCUGCAAGGCUGAUGUCUCCUGGGCUGCAGCCUGGCCAUGUGGAGAGUUCCUGUUGUCACAUCUGAUGCCAUAUUCUGGGAGUGACGCUUUAGCUUUGAAAAUGAGCAAGUACAAAGUGGUGUGGUCCAGGCAACCUAUGGCCUUUGGAAGGAGGCAGGACAAGGAGUGGUCCUAUGUUCAGUAGCACUCUGAUUGCAGAGCGCCUCAAGAGAUGGGACAGAAUCAGUGGGGCCCAUCCCAUGAGCAUGCCAAUGCCAACAGGAAGGGGGAGAGGAGGUGUCUCACUGGCUCACACUCCAUGGACAGAGCCAGCUUGGCAUUCCAGCUCCUUGGCCUCUGUGGACUAAGUCCUCCAGGGCCUCCAGUACAAAUAAUAUCAAUCUGCCAUGAUGACCAGUUGAAUAAGAAAAAGAGGAGUGGGAUGAAGGGGAAAAGAAUCGUGGCCAACAGCCAUUGGGAGCUUAGCAUGUGUGAGAAUCCAUGCUAGUAGUUUAUACACAACACUUCAUGAAUACACGUAACAACCUGUGAGGCACACUGCAUUAUCAGCUCUGUUUUACAGAAUGAGAAGUUGAAUCACAGAGGGGUGAAUGAACCUGUCCAAGGUCACAGAGAUUAUCAGUGGUAUAGGAUUCAAAGAUAGGCCCUCUGACCUAAGAACUCUAUGCUUAACCAUUGUACUCUAUGUUCGGAAGCAUUUUGAAUUCUGGGAUUGAAAUGAACACAUGAUUACAAGUUGGUGUCAUUAAAUAUAUUAGAAUACAUAAACCACAUCUCUGGAAAAUAAAAACAAUAGCCCUGAUUUUCCAUGUUUGUUCAUUUCCAUGGUGUAAAUAUUCCCACUGUGGUUCAUUUCAAACUGCCAAUGGAUUAGUACUGAGCUUUUAUCACUGCUGCAUAUCAUUGACUAAAAGUGUGAUAAGAUGUGUCUGAUGUAGGUUUAAGGGAAUUACAUCCUGGGCUCUAGUACCUCUUCACUUUACAUGCUGCUGUAGCAAGACUCAGUGUUUUUGAGCUUCAAAUUCCUCCCUCAUCUGCAAAACAAAAUUUGAGAGAAUCAGUUCGCCUUUACUUUUUUUUUUCCUUUAAAGUCUUAGGAAGGGUUUAUAAAAUGAGCCUUGACAGUUUUGAAAGUAUAGUAUGUUUUGUUAACUGUGAAAAUGGAAUCUGCUAGUCGCUGAAAAGAUCACUUUUGGAGAAGAAACAUUCAGUUUCAAGUUUACUGAAAUUCAGUAAACAUAGUCAUCUCUUUUCCUUCUCAGCUCUUUGCCUUGUCGAAGCGCUUCUUGAACUGAUUUUAUUAGUGGGUAAUAGUUGGAACAGAGACAAUCAAAGUCACUUUGUGAUUUCACCUGAGAGUAUUUUGAUUUUUCUGUGGCAAAGUUCCUUAAGCUAGGAUAUUUAAUACAGUUAGUUUCCUUUGUAUUCCUAUUUAUUAUAUUGCAUUUGUAUAUAAAGGCAUUAUUGAGAAGUGACCAAACUUCACAAGACUGCCAGAGAGGGCAGGAUCAAAAAUUAAAAAUAAAAAAAAAAUUAAAAAAGGAUGUGUAGGUAUCAAAAUGGAGGUUUCCAAGAGCUUAAGAACAGAGUUUCACCUUUAUCUGUGCUGGAGACGGCAGAUUUCUAGCAAAGGCAUGAAGAGCCAACCCUUCGUGGGCCUCACUCUCCAAAAGGCAAAGGAUGCCUCAUUUUUCUAAAAUGUAUCUAAAAGUAAAUGAAGUUUAUUAGUUAUUAAAUACACAUAGAGUUUUGAUUUUCAUAAACAUUCGUUUUUCCCACAUACAUACCCUUUUUAAAUUCUUUGCUACUUAGGCUUUAACUGAAUAUUGAUAGUUGAGAAUUAGCCUUCUUUCAGUCAUUGGGAAGCUAUUAUUUCAGGAUAGUCUGCAGUGAAAGAAACACUUGAUGUUCUCAUGUUGGAAACUUGGAUAUCCCUGAGCUUUCUUCUCCAACAGGAAGAUGUCCUUCAGCAUUCCCUCAUUCCUUUCACAAAUAAUGAAGACAUGCCACAUGCCAGGCAGAGCAAAGGCCCAGGGCCAUCAAAUGAAUGAGGUAUGCCCCUGCCCUGGUGCACUGCGGGGACUCCAGGGGAACAGAAAGUCACAACACAAGGUGGCCAGUGCUGAAAGAGAGAGAGGAGUAAGGAGCUGUGGAGGGCAUGACUGUCCACUGGCUGCACCGCCCCCAGCUGCAGAGGACACGGGGUGUAUCACAGAUAUAUAGACUUUCUCUAUUAAAAUCAUUUCCUUUUUGUUGAUUUGUAUAGAAUUGUAACAGUAAAGAUAAAUGUAAUGACUCAUUUUUAUUUUUUUAUUCUUGAGUUCAACUAAAAUGCAUACAGUACAUAUGCAUUUUCAAAUUCACAUGUGCAAAAAGGAAUAUUGCGUAUUCUAUCAGUAGUUCUCUAUCUUGGGUGCAGGGUAGAAUUAAUUACCUAGGGGUGGUUUUUAAAAAUACCAGUGUUUGGGCCACUUUUUCCUUGGUGGGCAAGGGCUCAAGAAAAUUCAUGAGCAAAGAUAGGAUGUAUUGAGGAGGCUGAGAGAUGCUGCCAGAGUCUGUGCUUCCCCAGGGACCCACACUGAUCACCCACAUUUGUGGCACAUGCUGGCUUUAGGGCGUUCUAGACUUACCUACCCCACUGGGUGGUUGGUACCAUGAGCCUAGACCACCUGCCAUCUGAUGAAGGACAGGAGCCCCUCUUGAAAGCCCCCUUGACCCUUGGAAAUGAUUUCCCAUCUGGAGAGUUGGUGCUUGAAAUUCCCCAAUUAGAUAGCUGUACUUUUUCUAGAAGCUUUUUUUUCCAUAAAAAUAUAUAAGUACCUCUGAGGAAUUAUACUGUUAUAUCUAAAGAAAUCCAAAACACUAAUUUGAAAAGAUGUGUGCAUCCCUAUGUUCAAUGAAGCAUUAUUUACGAUAGCCAAGAUAUGGUAGCAACCUAAUUGUCCGUCCAUAGGUGAAUGGAUGAAGAAGAUGUGCUAUGCAUAUAA